CCCCGCUAACUGCAACUCCACACACGAAGAAGAAGCAGACCGGAACCGGAAGUACUGAAACAGAACCCUGUUGACAAAAGCAGCUAGCCUCCCGCUGCUAGGUGGUAUGUAGUUUCACUGUCCAUUUACUGAAGCUCCCGUUCAGAAUGAGUCAUUCACAGGACAGGCAUGGGACGAAACGACCCGCGUCUCCAAGUGAUGAUGGGUCCACGCAGUGGGCGUCAGCUGAUCUUGGCAGCGAUGAACGGAAACAAAAGUUUUUACGUCUGAUGGGCGCCAGCAAGAGAGAACCUACCGGACGCCUCGUCAUCGGCGAACACAAGUCCACAUCCCACUUCCGCAGUGCCCUAUCCAUGCAUGGAUAGGCCUGUAAUGGCUGGGUGUGCCUGCUGUUACUGGUGUCUCCUCUGCAGGGCAGGAAGAUAAGAAGAUCAGCGAGCAGCUAGAGAUGCAGUACCAGCAGGGCAUGGACGGGAAGAUGUCGGGGCGGAACCGGAGACACUGUGGACUGGGUUUCAGUGAGCCCGAGCCAGAGCUAGUUUCAUUUCCCUCCCCACCCGUGGAAAGUCAGACAAAAGUAACUGAAACAGAGAAGUCCACGGAUAAAAAAGAAUCCACAGAGGACUCCGACGAAAGCUGCGACUCCGACCCAGAAGAACAGACCUCAGAGCCGGCAGAGUCCAGCUCGGAUGAAGAGCCGAAACAGAACUACAAGAAGCCCUCUUUCAAAUCAGCGUAGGCGCUAAACGGAUGGAUUAGAUUUUUGUAACCUCAAACGUGCAUUUUGACAUUAUUUGUUAGUCAUUUUUACUCGGUAGGAAAGGGAUCUUCUCUCAAACAACCCUCCAUGUGGUAACAUCCAGGUGUGCAUGUUGUCUGAGGAUGACGGGGUCGGGUGUUGAACUUUCAUUUCUAGGUGUUAUAUCACGUUCUGUUUGCGAACAGUCCAGGUUUUUAUUUCGUCUGAACAUUUUAUCUGUCAUUCGCCGCGACACGUGUUGAAUGAGACGGGAUCGUUCGUCAUUCAGCAUGAUCGUAUUCACAUUGUACAUUUUGUGAUUUCUUGUUUGAAAGUAAAAUAAAAGGAAGUGGGAGUUGUAA